GAUGAACGCUGGCGGCGUGCCUAAUACAUGCAAGUCGAGCGAACGGACGAGAAGCUUGCUUCUCUGAUGUUAGCGGCGGACGGGUGAGUAACACGUGGAUAACCUACCUAUAAGACUGGGAUAACUUCGGGAAACCGUAGCUAAUACCGGAUAAUAUUUUGAACCGCAUGGUUCAAAAGUGAAAGACGGUCUUGCUGUCACUUAUAGAUGGAUCCGCGCUGCAUUAGCUAGUUGGUAAGGUAACGGCUUACCAAGGCAACGAUGCAUAGCCGACCUGAGAGGGUGGUCGGCCACACUGGAACUGAGACACGGUCCAGACUCCUACGGGAGGCAGCAGUAGGGAAUCUUCCGCAAUGGGCGAAAGCCUGACGGAGCAACGCCGCGUGAGUGAUGAAGGUCUUCGGAUCGUAAAACUCUGUUAUUAGGGAAGAACAAAUGUGUAAGUAACUGUGCACAUCUUGACGGUACCUAAUCAGAAAGCCACGGCUAACUACGUG
rnacentral:rRNA from 1 species